UGGAACCUUUGGCUUGGUGGACUACACAAAUUAUGAAGACAUGAAGUAUGCUAUAAGAAAACUUGAUGAUACUGAGUUCAGGAAUCCUUGGACAAGAACCUGCAUCCCUGUAAGAGAAUACAAGGGCAGUCCUUCAAGA